UUGGGAAUUGUACGCAAUGGACGAAAGUCUGACGUCGCGACACCGCGUGAAGGAUGAAGGCCCUCGGGUCGUAAACUUCUUUUAUUGGGGACGAUGAUGACGGUACCCAAAGAAUAAGCACCGGCUAACUACGUGCCAGCAGCCGCGGUAAUACGUAGGGUGCAAGCGUUAUCCGGAAUUAUUGGGCGUAAAGAGCGCGUAGGUGGUUUGUUAAGUUACCCGUUAAAUACUCAGGCUCAACCUGAGAACUGCGGGUAAUACUGGCAAACUCGAGAAUAGCAGGGGCAAGUGGAAUUCCCGGUGUAGGAGUGAAAUCCGUUGAUAUCGGGAGGAACACCAAUGGCGAAGGCAGCUUGCUAGGCUAUUUCUGACACUGAGGCGCGAAAGCGUGGGGAGCGAACGGG
rnacentral:rRNA from 1 species